rnacentral:rRNA from 1 species
UACACGAGCGGCGAACGGGUGAGUAACACGUGAGCAACCUGCCCCUGACUCCGGGAUAAGCGGUGGAAACGCCGUCUAAUACCGGAUAUGACCUGCCACCUCAUGGUGGCGGGUGGAAAGUUUUAUCGGUCAGGGAUGGGCUCGCGGCCUAUCAGCUUGUUGGUGGGGUAACGGCCUACCAAGGCGAUUACGGGUAGCCGGCCUGAGAGGGCGACCGGCCACACUGGGACUGAGACACGGCCCAGACUCCUGCGGGAGGCAGCAGUGGGGAAUAUUGCACAAUGGGCGAAAGCCUGAUGCAGCGACGCCGCGUGGGGGAUGACGGCCUUCGGGUUGUAAACCUCUUUUACCACCAACGCAGGCUCCGGGUUUUCUCGGGGUUGACGGUAGGUGGGGAAUAAGGACCGGCUAACUACGUGCCAGCAGCCGCGGUAAUACGUAGGGUCCGAGCGUUGUCCGGAAUUAUUGGGCGUAAAGAGCUCGUAGGCGGCAUGUCGCGUCUGCUGUGAAAGACCGGGGCUUAACUCCGGUUCUGCAGUGGAUACGGGCAUGCUAGAGGUAGGUAGGGGAAACUGGAAUUCCUGGUGUAGCGGUGAAAUGCGCAGAUAUCAGGAGGAACACCGGUGGCGAAGGCGGGUUUCUGGGCCUUACCUGACGCUGAGGAGCGAAAGCAUGGGGAGCGAACAGGAUUAGAUACCCUGGUAGUCCAUGCCGUAAACGUUGGGCGCUAGGUGUGGGGACUUUCCACGG